rnacentral:rRNA from 1 species
GACGAACGCUGGCGGCGUGCCUAAUACAUGCAAGUCGAGCGUGAACCACAGGAGGGGUAACCCUCCUGCGGGGAAAGCGGCGAACGGGUGAGUAACACGUGGGCAACCUGCCCUCGACACUGGGAUAACCCCGGGAAACCGGGGCUAAUACCGGAUACCCGCGGACGGUUGCAUGGCCGACCGAGGAACGCUCCGACGGUCGAGGAUGGGCCCGCGGCCUAUCAGCUUGUUGGCGGGGUAACGGCCCACCAAGGCGACGACGGGUAGCUGGCGUGAGAGCGUGGCCAGCCACACUGGGACUGAGACACGGCCCAGACUCCUACGGGAGGCAGCAGUAGGGAAUCUUGCGCAAUGGGCGAAAGCCUGACGCAGCGACGCCGCGUGCGGGAUGAAGGCCCUCGGGUUGUAAACCGCUUUCGGCAGGGACGAAGCCUCACGGUGACGGUACCUGCAGAAGAAGCCCCGGCUAACUACGUGCCAGCAGCAGCCGCGGUAA